GAACCGUGAAAUCAACGAGGUGAAGUGAAAAUUGUAAUCUAGGGGUACGGAUGGAUCAAUGAUCCAGGAGCAGACAAAGGUGUGGGAGGAGCACCUAGAGAAACUUCUGACGCAGCUGCGCGACACCAACUUACAGCUUUGGGGCGAUGGGCGGUGCAAUUCCACUGGUCACAGUGCCAAAUACCUGACGUACUCCUUCCUGUGCCCCGAUUCAAGGAACAUCACCCACACAGAGCAAGUAGCGAACAAGUGAAGGCGAGUGCCGUGAUGGAGAAGAAAGGCCUCAUCAGAGGUCUGAAAUUUCUUUCGGACCAUGACAUGGCGGUGAGGUCACUCACGACAGACUGCCACAGAGGCAUCAAGAAGUACUUACGGCUGCAGUGCCCAGGAAUCGGUCACUACUGUGAUGUGUGGCAUGUUGGAAGAGGCAUCAGGAAAAAGCUGGCUGCUGCUUCCCGAAGAGCUGGAUGUGCCGUCAUCACAGAAUGGACGCAAUCGAUAGUCAACCAUCUAUUGGCCUCGAGAUCUUGGAGUGGCCCCCUCUCGCGUGUGACGUCAGAGCGGGGACUCCGCUCUCAACCGCGCUGCAGCAGCCGCUGCUCCUGUAUGCGGAUCGUCUGCUUCAGGCGGGAACUUUGUUGAACGAACAGCCUCGCGACAUCCAACUAACACCUGCAACGAAUGUUUUCAAGUGUAAUCUUGAACUUGUUUUAGUUGUGGCCCAAUCGACAGGGCCAAGAAAUCCCCCGGAUGGCCGACGAGUACGCCGAUGCCACUGACUGCAUUGCUGAUUCUCCAGCCUACGAGCAGAUUGAGUGCAUUGUGACAGCACCAUCGCUAUUGAAGGACAUCCCGCAAUUAUAUAACCAUCUGUGCAAACCUACAGCCUGGAGUCCUUCCACAGUGUCCUGAAUGGUUUUGCCCCAAAGUCCAGUGCAUUCACGUAUGAAGGCAUGAGAGCCCGCGAAAACUCUCAGCGAGAGCAAGCAAGGAGCAGUGACGGCACAGAGAAGUGGCGCAUCAAGACAUCAGAGGUCCAGCAAGGAGUCGCUGCCAAGGCUGCUGUCAUAGUACGUAACGACGCCAGCACUACAAGACCUCAGCAGCAUACCGCAUUCAUCGGGGCUCCAGUUGCUGAAUUGGAGCCCAGCGUUGUGAGCCAAUGUCUCGUUGCCAAGUUCACCGUCGACAUCCAUUGCGGCGAUUGCAGCAAGCUUUGAUAGCUUUGAUGGCCGUUGUUGCUGCUGUUGCUCCUGCUACUUUCGCUCUGCUGCUACUAAUGUCGGUGGCCAUGCAGUAAAGGCGGGCAACGUUGGGCACGGCAACAGUGACGUCAGAAAGACUGCUUUUAGGCGGGUGAUUUGAAGUAUGCUAACGCGAUGCGAAGCACUAAAACAUGAUUUUAUUUAAAAGUAAGCACUUCCUUGGCACAAAAGUAGCACUACGAGGUUUUUGGACCACUGUUUCAAGAAUCAAUGUCGACUUAAUAUUUGACUUUAGUGUCCUUGAAGGGUCCCUCACCAGGUUCGACAAUUUUGAGCUGACGAGCGCAAUGCAUACACUGGGCAUUCACGAUCACGUCUGCCAAAAUUUGCAACGCUAUGCACCGUGGAAAUGGGUCAAAUUUCAAGCUGAACGCUGCUUGCCCUUCUUCAUGCGGACGUGCACCCAGAGAAUGAGGGGAUGACGUGCACGAUGGAAUGGCCCUACGUAGACGGUAGUGCUAUGACAUUGGUCCUCUACGUAGACUGUGCUCUGACAUCGCCAACAGUAACACGUGACACUGCGAUAAUUAUUUGACACAACGUGUAGUUUGUGUAAUUUGUUCCUUGAAUAGAUUAAUAAAACUUGAGAGCAAUAAUAAAGCACACAAACGGAAUGUGUGCAUUUUCUUUUUUAAUUUUUAUUGCGAAUCGCAGCCAGAUGCGAGACUGAUCUAAUCUACCUCCGUUUUGCAUGCGUUCGUGUUAUCGCAGUUUGCGCAUCAUGCAGACGUCACUGCUUACAAUGAAACUAAUUUUCUACCGCGUUCCAGCGCUCAUUAGGCUCAUUUAUCCUCCCGCAUCGAACCAGAUGUUCAUGCGGCAACCGUUAGUCUCGCGUUCAUACAAAUGUCUCAGCUUUCGUACUCAGUAAUAGGUUGAAAGCCAAGUGAUCGGCGAAGGCGCAUUCGGCAUAACUUGUGGAGAUGAAGCACAAAGAACGCCGCCACAACACCGCUCGCGUGUCGGGGGCUCGGGCACGUCACGUGCUCGUGACAUUGUGUGCGCCUGACGUCUUCAUGCGUAUGCGUCAUGUGAUCCUCCCGCUCGCGUGCCGAAGAGGGCAGGGAAGGGAUUUGGCUUGCGAAGGCUACAUGGGGCAAGCUACAUCAUGAUUUCGUGCCGCCUCAAAACAUUGGUUUUCUCAGCUUCUAAUGGACUGAUUAGAAAAAUUCUUGUGUCAUAAUGCUCUUUAUUGGGCGCGACAACUUCCAGUGUCUAACUAAAAUUCGUUAUGUCACCUGGUGAGGGGGCCUUUAAGCGCAUUGAAGGACCCUACUUUUCCGCUGGUUUUCGGUGCCAUGCCUGAUGAGCUUCAGUGUUUGCUGAAGAAAGAGUGUGUCGAAAAUAAACAACUGUCUAUAACUGCACAUAGAUACACAUACAUGCCUUUCUCAAAUUCUUUGCC